rnacentral:rRNA from 1 species
CACGUAGGGCGCAAGCGUUGUCCGGAAUUAUUGGGCGUAAAGAGCUCGUAGGUGGUUUGUUACGUCUGCUGUGAAAACCUAGGGCUUAACCCUGGGCUUGCAGUGGAUACGGGCAGACUAGAGGUAGGUAGGGGAGAAUGGAAUUCCUGGUGUAGCGGUGGAAUGCGCAGAUAUCAGGAGGAACACCGGUGGCGAAGGCGGGUCUCUGGGGCCGU